rnacentral:lncRNA from 1 species
ACUUUGUGGUACUGUAAUUUUAAUUCUGGUCAAUAAAUAGUACUACUAAUUAGUGUUUAUGGUUACAAAUUCAGAAUUCAUGUUUGGCCUUUUAUGAUCGAACUAGACGGACUGUUUGGUCUUCAAAUGAGAAGUUUUAUUUUGUGUCUCAUACAACUUACGCAUGAGGUUCUUUUUUAUUUCACAAAAUUAUGGAUCAUAAUCGUACACUUCUGAAUUCAUAGAAUUUGGGAUGCACAAAACUAUGAGAUAAAAAAUUGUCUUAUAUAACUAAUAUAAGUUGUAUGAGACACAACAUAAAAUUUUCCGUCUUCAAAUCAAAAUACCAAAAUAAGGACUAUAUGAGAGUACAUAUGAUGUCUUCCAAGUUAUAAAAAUUGUAGGAACAUUAAAAAAAAUCUAGUGAAGAUAUUGUCACGAUCCAAGCUUUCCCUUCGUAAACUGUCGUAACGACAUCCACUCUUUACCAUUAGGUAAGCCUAACAAUCACGGAAAAAAAUAAAAUGCGAAAAAACUAAUAAAAAUUGAAGAUAAACAAUAUAAAGGCGUCUCGACAUAUACUAAUACAAGAUCUUGAAAACUAAAUAACUUUCCAAAUUCAUAAUAUCAUGAAAUCACAAGCUAAUGAUACUACAUAGUGCUCUAACUCUAGAAUGUCUAAAACAAAGCAAAUAAAUAAGGGAUGUAACUACAAUAGAGAAUGGAGAUAGACUCCUCCCUCUGCGGAUGUAUACUGGUUCACCACACCUUGUGGUUAGUCCAGUCCCCGAAAGACUCUCUCGAGAUUUCCACUAACUUUGUCAAGCUUACGGGUGCUCAACAAACCGUUACAACCUGAGAGCUUGAGUCACACAAGCCUCAGCAAACCGUUAAGUUUACGGGUACCUAACAAACCGUAACUAGACGGACUGUUUGGUCUUCAAAUGAGAAGUUUUAUUUUGUGUCUCAUACAACUUACGCAUGAGGUUCUUUUUUAUUUCACAAAAUUAUGGAUCACAAUCGUACACUUCUGAAUUCAUAGAAUUUGGGAUGCACAAAACUAUGAGAUAAAAAGUUGUCUUAUACAACUAAUAUAAGUUGUAUGAGACACAACAUAAAAUUUUCCGUCUUCAAAUCAAAAUACCAAAAUAAGGACUAUAUGAGAGUACAUAUGAUGUCUUCCAAGUUAUAAAAAUUGUAGGAACAUUAAAAAAAAUCUAGUGAAGAUAUUGUCACGAUCCAAGCUUUCCCUUCGUAAACUGUCGUAACGACAUCCACUCUUUACCAUUAGGUAAGCCUAACAAUCACGGAAAAAAAUAAAAUGCGAAAAAACUAAUAAAAAUUGAAGAUAAACAAUAUAAAGGCGUCUCGACAUAUACUAAUACAAGAUCUUGAAAACUAAAUAACUUUCCAAAUUCAUAAUAUCAUGAAAUCACAAGCUAAUGAUACUACAUAGUGCUCUAACUCUAGAAUGUCUAAAACAAAGCAAAUAAAUAAGGGAUGUAACUACAAGAGAGAAUGGAGAUAGACUCCUCCCUCUGCGGAUGUAUACUGGUUCACCACACCUUGUGGUUAGUCCAGUCCCCGAAAGACUCUCUCGAGAUUUCCACUAACUUUGUCAAGCUUACGGGUGCUCAACAAACCGUUACAACCUGAGAGCUUGAGUCACACAAGCCUCAGCAAACCGUUAAGUUUACGGGUACCUAAGAAACCGGUACACUUUGAGAACUUAAAUCCCACAAGUCUCAAACAACCUUGCUCGAGGAUACCUCACCCCAAGACUUCACUGUUAAGCUUACGGGUGCCUAACGAACCGUUUAACUUUAAGAGAAAAUCGAUUGUUUGAAAUUUGAUUAGAAAUCUGAAAGUCAACAAUCGAUUGUUGUAUGACCACAAUCGAUUGUGGUUCAUAUUUUCAAAGUAUUUCUGUCAAGCAUUUGAAUUUAACAGAUUUGUGUAAUCAAAAUUUCAACAACUAAAUCCCUGAUUAAAAGGAGUGAUUGACUGAAGAAAAUUUGGUUUAGAAUUUUGAAAUUAACGGAUUUGUAAAUAAUUUUCAACCACCAAAUCUUGACUUUAAGAACAGAAAUAAUUGUGAAAGAUUUUGGGAUUUUGUAACUUCAACAAUCGAUUGUUGCAUGAUGACAAUCGAUUGUCAUUUAAAUUUUCAAAGCAUUUUUAGCAACGGUAAGAAUACAAUCGAUUGUUAGACUAUGACAAUCGAUUGUUAUGUUUUUAUAAAAACUUUGAUAACACAAUACCUCAGGACAAUCGAUUGUUUUGCUUCUUUGAAAAAUUCAUUUAAGCACUGUCUCAUGACAAUCGAUUGUUUACCUCAGACAAUCAAUUGUUGGCCAAUUUGAAAUCAUAUAAUCGAUUGUUUUAUAAAUAUUGAAAGUUCCAGUUUAGGCAGUCUUUAUGACAAUCGAUUGUUGUAGUCCAAAAUUAAAAGACAUGUUUGAAAAACAUUUUGGCUAAAAUGCAACUCAUUUGUUUUAACUUAAAGAUGCAUGAUUUGAUGAAAAAUGAUUUUAUGAGAGAGCCAAUACUAGAAUAUGUCGUUGACAACUCAUUUGUUUUAACUUAAAGAUGCAUGAUUUGAUGAAAAAUGAUUUUAUGAGAGAGCCAAUACUAGAAUAUGUCGUUGAGUCAAGAUCACAAAAUAAAACGACUCAACAAUAAACUCAAUAAUAACUUCAUUGCAAUUCUUGAACUUGCACUGUUUCACUUGUACUUGGACUGUUAUUGUUCCAUCCUCGUUGGUUUGUCAUGGUUUGUCAUUUAUCAAAACCUACAUAAAUCAACACACGUUUAGUUUUGAGAACGUGAUUCAACACAUUCUAUAUCAAUUAAAAGCAUAGAAGGAAUCUAACUCAGUGCACAGAAAUAGCAACAGGGGGACCUCCCGGGAUAUCGUCCCACAGUCCGAAUCAUAAAGAUGCAGGAAAAACUCUCGAAACCAAUAACAGUUUAAGACAAGUAUUCUAAUAAUAGUUCAAGAUCAGUAUUCCCCCUCAAUCUGUGAUUCCCCCCUUAAUAUAUGCAAAUAUAUUAUAUUGUGCAUGCAUAGCCCGUUUUUAUGCAUAGCCCGUUUUCUUCCCCCUUUUGACAUUAACAAAAAGUGCAAGAAGAAACGUUUUAUUAAACUAAAAUUAAGGAGUACAUAAUCAAGAUACCAAAGAUAAACUGGGCAGAAAAUUAAAACAAUUAUAUAAACUGCAACAAGAAAUUUUAUUCAUCAUUGUCUUCGUCUUCCACAUUGUCCGGCGCUGCUUCAUAUGGAACAAGACCAGCAUAUGGAUAAUGAACAUGGUCAAAAUAUCCAUGCAUUUCAUAAGUCAAUUGAUUGACGGAAGUGGUUAGUGAAGCAAGCUGAUCGGAAAUAGAUUGAAGAGUAGGAGUUUGGGUACGACGAGGUGGUUGAGGACGAGGAGCAGGAGGAGCAGCAUGUUCGCCAACAAUGGGAAGGGAAGAUGAUGAAAUUUCCCAAUGUUUGGUUUCUCUUUUUAUCGGACCAUUGGUGGUGUCAAAACUGGUGGCUUGAAGAAUUUUCAUGAUAAGAAAAGCAUAAGGAAGGGGUCUAUCAUCCCCUCUGGCAUCAAGCAUAUGAAUUUUGAUGAAUUUGCACCGGUGAUAAUGGCAUGAAGAAGUUUGGCGUCCUCUUGAGAAAUAGUAGUGUGUCUAUGCUUACGGGGUUUUAGCACACGAGUUAUGAAGUAAAAAAUCAAGCGAUACUCAGGGAGCAUCCCCGUGAUAGUUGGACGACGAGUGGUAAGAUUAGGAUCAAAUGAUCCAAGCCCGAUUUGAUUUAACGGAAUUUGUUCAUCAAACAAUACGCCGUCUUCUCGAAUGUACCUGAAGAUGUUUUCCCCAUUUCGAGGAAGUUGAGAAAUCGUUUCAAGAUUUUGUAUAGAUAAGAUGAUUGGAAUACCAUUGAUGUUUAUAACAAGAUCUCCAUCUUCGUCUUCCUGAAGAUUAGAGUAGAAAGCGCGAAUAAAUGGAGGAUGAAUAUCUGUAUUUUUAAGACACAAAAAAUCAAGAAGUUUGCUUUCCCGAAGCAUAUUGGCAGUAGCUGCGGGUGCGCUUGAUUCAAGGUAUUGAGUUGUAGAGAAACGAGGAGGUUGUAUUUCUCGGUUUUCAAAUUUGUUCAUGAACCGAGCAUACUCCGCUUCGGACUCGAAUUUUAGAUAGGAACCGUCUUGAUAGGGAAAGACAGGAGUAGGAGCAGUAGAGGAGGAGGCAACAUUCUUGCCUUGGCGGGAUCGUUUUUGAUGUCUUGACAUUUUGAUAUGAAUUUUUGAGAGCUAAUUUGGAGAAUUUUUUAAGACAAUUUGAGAGAUUUUUGAAGUUUUGAAUUUGAUUUGAAGUGAUGAAAGUGAAGAGAGCAGCUUCAAUUUAUAGAGUGGUAAGUAGAUGACAUUUAAGGCAGAAAUGAAGUCUGAAAAAUGGUAAUAUUUGAAAAUCUGCCGUUGAACAAUCGAUUGUUGAGCUGUCACAAUCGAUUGUUAUGGAAUAUUUUGAACGGUAUUUUGAGCUGACAAAAAGAUAAUCGAUUGCAGAGUUUUUCAGAAGUCAGAACAGUAAAAUUUUUGAAUAAUGACCGUUUGACAAUCGAUUGCGGAGCCUAAACAAUCGAUUGUUGGAAGAAUUGAAUUAUGGUCAGAAAUUGAACAAUCGAUUAUGGCACAUUGACAAUCGAUUGUUUAUAGGCAGUGAGUAUGAGGACAUAAGAAUUUAUUGAACAAUCGAUUAUAGACAAAUAACAAUCGAUUGUUUGUACCCAGUGAGUAUUUCAUAGUCCAAUGAUUUUACGACAAUCGAUUGUAGACAAGAGACAAUCGAUUGUGAAGAGGCAAAAACUUAUAAGGUCCUGAUAAAUUAUGGAACAAUCGAUUAUGGAAGUUGGAAAAUCGAUUGUGACGAGGCAGAGAGUUAUAAGGACUUGAAUGAUUAUUGGACAAUCGAUUGUGGAAGUGUGACAAUCGAUUAUAUGGUCCAGUGAUAUUAGGACAAUCGAUUGUGGAUAUGAGACAAUCGAUUGUGAGUAGGCAAAAAGAUAUAAGUACCUAAAUGAAUAUUUUGACAAUCGAUUAUGGAAGUAUGACAAUCGAUUUUAGGACAGCAGUGCCAAACGGACAACAAAGACAGCAAAAGACAAUUGAUUUUGCAAUUUGAACACUCGAUUAUAUAUAUCAAAUCUUAUAAAACUGAAUCUAAAUACAGUCGAUUAUUGAUACGGAGAAUCGAUUAUUGUAUACUUGCCAAAACACCUGCACAACACAAGUGUCAGACACAAUCGAUUGUGGCUAGUAAACAAUUGAUUGUAUUACACCAGAAUUAAAUUCCCCCUGUCUUUGAGGAUAUCUCUGCAAAAACACAAUUAAGCGCCUACGACGCUUAAGUUAGUAUUUAUUCAAGAGAUAAAUGCAACCUAAGUGAAUGCAUUAGAUCAACGUAGAGUCAAGGAUUCCGAGUUCAUUUCGAAUACGGAAGAACAACUCUUUAUCUAAAAGGUCUGGUGAAGAUGUCAAUUAAUUGAUGUUUAGUGAUUACGAACUCAAUUUUGAUAUCACCUUUGAGAACGUGAUCUUUCAUACAAUGGUGCCUAAUUUCGAUAUACUUUGGUCUUGAAUUGAAGAAUUGGAUUCUUCGUCAAACUUAUGGUAUUAGUAUUAUCACAUCGAAUAGGAACAUGAAUAAGACUAAGACCAUAAUCCUAAAGUUGCUGUUUCAUCCAAAGGAUUUGUGUGCAACAACUUCCCGUGGCAAUAUAUUCGGCCCCGGUUGUGGACAAAGCGACACUUAACAUGUUUCUUGCUAAGUCAAGAAACUAAGGAGUUACCGAGCAAGUGGCAAGUGCCAUUUGUGCUCUUUGCGGCCUAAUUUGCAUCAAGCGAAAUUAGAGUCGGAAUAGCCAAUUAAUUGGAAUGAAGAUACUUUUGGGAUACCAAAGUCCCACAUAUAAAGAUUCAAAUGGAUAAUUCAUUUUCCGUUUAACCGCAUGACUCCUUUGGACAAGAUUUAUAUCUAACACUUCAAUACAUGCUAAAUAUUAUAUCAAGUCUACUAGCAGUAAGGUAAAGCAAGGAACGAUCAUACCCGGUAUAUCUCGGUGUCAACCUCUUUACCUAUUUCACCUUUGUCACGAUGGUUAGGUAUGCUCGUUGGAUUUGCCAUUGCUUUUGGUGUUGAUAAUUUCAAAUUGAUUCAGCAACUCCAAAACGAAAUUAAGCUUACCCUUCGUUGACAUCUUAAUUUGCUAGUAAUGAGUUUUACAAACUCCUUGCAUAUAGACACAUUAGUUGCUCCAAGAAAAAUAUCAUCAACAUAUAAACUUGUUUUUGAAGUACAGAAAUAAUGGCAUCUAUAAAAUUCUUUUUGAGAUACAACAACAUCAUUAAUACAAAUUUGAAACAUCAACAGAACUUUUUGUCAAAUCAUAGAUUCAUGUUGAAAUGCAAGAAUACCAUCAUCAAAUAAGAAUUCAUGCAGUCUAUUUCCCUUCAAUGAAAAUUUCCCAUCAAAUAAGGCAUACUAAAAGAAAGCAUUCCCCCUUAUUUGAAGCAUAUCGCCUUAACGCUUCUACUUUUGCCACAAAGAUAGAGUAUUAAGACUACUUUCCUUUAUCGAUAAAUCUCCGAGUGACACAAUACAAAUAGGAAAGACAUUGAGGAAUAUGCAUGAUGUCUUUUUCGAUAUACCUCCGAGUGACACAAUACAGAUAGGAAAGACAUUGAGGAAAAUGCAUGAUGAAUAUUGAUAAUGAUUUUCAAGGCAUACAAACUGUUUUAAACAAAACAUAUCAAUUUGACAUUUUUCAAAAUAUACCAAAUGGUGUAAAAAUAAUAAUAGACCCAUUUGUUGGAAAUGCAUCAAAUGUUAUUUUAUUAACAGUGAUACAUAUUGUUAUCUUCAGAAUAUCAAAACAAUUAUCAACCAAAAAAAAAAUCAUGGAUCAAAUAUUCCAAGGAUAUACCAAUCAUUAUUCAACCCAGAAAUAUCAUUUGUCAAAAACAUAAGUGAAAUGUUUUUAAACAAAAAUAUGCUAACAAUUAGAAAGAUUUUCUGAUAAAUAUCAACAGUUAUAAACAACGUUCCUCAAGACAAAAAUAAAAUGUUUUUACUAUGAGCAUGCUAGCAGUUAACAGUUGAAUAGAAUAAACAAUUCAAAAGUUUGUCGAAAGAUACUAAUUGUUAUUUAAGAGGCAUUUAUCAAAAGAAACAAUUGAUGCCAAUAAUAGUUAUCAAGACAUGGAUCAACCAUAGAUGAUUCUAGUAGUUGCUUAACAGCAAAUUUUCAAUACGAGAAUCAACAAAGAUAAUAGAUAUCAAUUGUCAACACGGAUAUCUCAAUUUUCAACACGAGAAUCAAUUGUCAACAUGGAUGUCUCAAUUUUCAACGCAUAUCAAUUAUUUUGAUUGAGCACAUCAACAGUAUCAAAAUGAGAGCCAAAUUAACAGCAAAUAUCUUAAUAUCAAUUAUUGGUACACAUUAGCAAUUCGGUUUUCAUCAAAAAGGAUAACUAACCGAAGUUCCCCUUGAUGCAAUAAGGUGUCGUGCUUGAUUGCAUCUACUACAAUAUUGUAGCUUUCAAGCACACCUGCAAAAAGAACCUAAGGAUAGGUUUUUGGUACCCAAACACCUUUGGGUCCUUGAGGGUUAGGCAAAUAAUGAUUAUAACCAAAAGAUAAAUCCCUCUGUUUCGCAAAACAUAUAGGUGCUAUGUUCGGUUGCAGUAGUGACACACCACAUUCGGGUUGUGCCUAUGCCUAGGUUGUGCCAAAUAUGUUUUAGGUGAUCUAAAGUCGUUCCUAGAAGCGUCGAAAUUUCUAGAGUCCUUUCUAGGUGGUCUAGUGUAGUUUAUUCGAGACUUAUCAACAAAAGUCCUAGAAUUGCUCCUAGGUGGUCUAAAGUGGUUAAUUCUAGACUUGAAGAACCUAGUAUCGUUUCCAGGUGGUCUAGUCUCAUUCCUGGGAUUAUUUCUAUGUUGCCUAAAAUUAUUAAUUCUAGGCUUAUUCGUAUAAUUCCUAGAAUCGUUUCUAGGUGGUCUAAAAUUAUUAGUUCUAGACUCAUUGAAAACCCUAGAAUUAUUUCUUGGUGGUGCAGUAAAAUUUCUAACGUGAUUCUUGUUUUUCUUACGCCUUUUGUUUUUCUUGGGCUUUUUCUUAACCUCUUCAACUACCUUAGGAAUGUCAACACUACGUGAUUCUAAUGUGCUCCUAAGUUCUGCGUUUUCUAAUUGCAAGGGUUCACAAGAUAAGCAUUUAGAACAUUGACCAAUAGAAGAAGCUUCGUUCAUUGCCUUAAUCUUAUCUCUGAGAUCAACAAUGUCAUUUUUCAAAAACUGAUUUUCUUCUUCAAGCUUCUCGUUAUCACGAGUCAAUAUUUCAAAAUCUUUUUCUUUUGAAGAAAGUUGUUUUUCAAAAUCCUUUUCUUUCAACAAAAGUUGUUCUUCAAAAUCCUUUUCUUUUAAAGAGGCAUUUUUCCUUGCGUCUCUGAUAAUCCCGGAAGCUUUAACAAAUUCACUAUAUAGUUCUUCAUAUGCAUUUUGUAAUUCUUCAAACGAGUGAGAGUUAGAAGUACUUNNNNNNNNNNNNNNNNNNNNNNNNNNNNNNNNNNNNNNNNNNNNNNNNNNNNNNNNNNNNNNAAGUACUUACCUCUUCUUCUUCGUCGGCCAUGAAGCAUCGGGCAGUCGGUUCAUCACAUGGACUGUCCACUUUUUGAGGCAUAUUUUCAUACGUGUCCUCAAGCUUAUCCCACAUUUCUUUGGCAGUUUUGCAGUGGGAACUUUUUCGACAAUUUUCCUGAUUCAAAGAACUACACAACAUAUUUAUUGCCUUGGUAUUAUAUUCACUUACCAUGGCUUGCCCAACUUAUGCCGUCAUUUGCUCACCAUACUUGAUGAUUUGCCAUAGACGAAAGUUGUUUGACUGGAUGAAAUUCUCAUCCUAUUCUUCCAAUAUCUGUAGUUGCUCCCGUCAAAUAUUGGAGGUAAGAAGGUGCAAAAUCCUUCACCUGUUCCUGCAAAAGCACUACUAAUAGAAGCCAUAGAACGAUUCUCUCAAACUGUUAAGUUUUACAGAGAGUUAGGCUCUGAUACCAAUUGUUAGAACUAGUGCUUAACGCUAGAGGGGGGGGGGUGAAUAGCGUUUAUAAAAAUUAUGCGGAAUUAAAAAACAAGUUGCUGAAUUGAAAACUGCAGGAAUUAAAUAAGUGCGGAAAUUAAAUGAGAAAGGAAAGAACACACCGAUGUAUACUGGUUCACCACACCUUGUGGUUAGUCCAGUCCCCGAGAGACUCUCUCGAGACUUCCACUAACUUUGUCAAGCUUACGGGUGCUCAACAAACCGUUACAACCUGAGAGCUUGAGUCACACAAGCCUCAGCAAACCGUUAAGUUUACGGGUACCUAACAAACCGUGGAUACCACACCUUAAGACUUCACUUGCUCGAGGCUACCUCACCCCAAGACUUCACUGUUAAGCUUCUGGGUGCCUAACAAACCGUUACAACUUGAGAACUUGAAUCCCACAAGUCUCAAACAACCUUGCUCGAGGAUACCUCACCCCCAAGACUUCACUGUUAAGCUUACGGGUGCCUAACCAACCGUUAAAACCUGAGAACUUGAAUCACACAAGCCUCAGACAAUCUUGCUCGGGGGUACCUCACCCCAAGACUUCUCAAGAAGAAAUACAAUAUUCCCUCUUGCAACAAGUGUAUAAAAUCACUUACUACUCACUUAAACAAUACUCUCUAAACAGAGUGGAUAUGAGUACAAAUAAUCAGCUCAAGAACACAACAACUUAAUCAAGAUUGGCUCUCAAAAAUAAUGAACUUAGAAUGAAAUAAUAUGCAAUUGAAGUGUGUGAACUUUUACAGAUUUUGGCUAAGUUGUGUUAUUUAAAAACGUAUUUCAGAUGGGUAUUUAUAGCAUUGAAAGAGUAUUAGACCGUCGCCUAAUUGUCAAACAAAAUCCCUGAAAUUGUGCUAUGACAAUCGAUUGUCAAGCCCUCACAAUCGAUUGUUGGACCAAUAUUUCAAAAGACAAAUCUUAACUUUAAGAGAAAAUCGAUUGUUUGAAAUUUGUUUAGAAAUCUGAAAGUCAACAAUCGAUUGUUGUAUGACCACAAUCGAUUGUGGUUCAUAUUUUCAAAGUAUUUCGGUCAAGCAUUUGAAUUUAACAGAUUUGUGUAAUCAAAAUUUCAACAACUAAAUCCCUGAUAAAAAGGAGUGAUUGACUGAAGAAAAUUUGGUUUAGAAUUUUGAAAUUAACGGAUUUGUAAAUAAUUUUCAACCACCAAAUCUUGACUUUAAGAACAGAAAUAAUUGUGAAAGAUUUUGGGAUUUUGUAACUUCAACAAUCGAUUGUUGCAUGAUGACAAUCGAUUGUCAUUUAAAUUUUCAAAGCAUUUUUAGCAACAGUAAGAAUACAAUCGAUUGUUAGACUAUGACAAUCGAUUGUUAUGUUUUUAUAAAAACUUUGAUAACACACUGCCUCAGGACAAUCGAUUGUUUAUCCAUGACAAUCGAUUGUUUUGCUUCUUUGAAAAAUUCAUUUAAGCAUUGUCUCAUGACAAUCGAUUGUUUACCUCAGACAAUCGAUUGUUGGCCAAUUUGAAAUCAUAUAAUCGAUUGUUUUAUAAAUAUUGAAAGUUCCAGUUUAGGCAGUCUUUAUGACAAUCGAUUGUUGGUCAUUGACAAUCGAUUGUUGUAGUCCAAAAUUAAAAGACAUGUUUGAAAAACAUUUUGGCUAAAAUGCAACUCAUUUGUUUUAACUUAAAGAUGCAUGAUUUGAUGAAAAAUGAUUUUAUGAGAGAGCCAAUACUAGAAUAUGUCGUUGAGUCAAGAUCACAAAAUAAAACGACUCAACAAUAAACUCAAUAAUAACUUCAUUGCAAUUCUUGAACUUGCACUGUUUCACUUGUACUUGGACUGUUAUUGUUCCAUCCUCGUUGGUUUGUCAUGGUUUGUCAUUUAUCAAAACCUACAUAAAUCAACACACGUUUAGUUUUGAGAACGUGAUUCAACACAUUCUAUAUCAAUUAAAAGCAUAGAAGGAAUCUAACUCAGUGCACAGAAAUAGCAACAGGGGGACCUCCCGGGAUAUCGUCCCACAGUCCGAAUAAUAAAGAUGCAGGAAAAAUCACAUAAGCCUCGCGGGCAACAGUAAAGUAUGAUGCUCAGCCAAAAAUAUUAUUUGAAAUAUCAUUUCAAGUGUUAAAAUCAAAGUAAACAUGGCUGAGUUUUGAAAACAGUGGAAAAAUAACAUGACUGAAUUCAACUUAGGAGUCAAACCAAUGAGGAAAUAUCAAUAACAAGCCCUGAAGGGUUCACAUAGUUGGAACUAGGCCCAAAUAUGGCAUUCAUCCCAAUUAAUGAUGAUAUCAAACAGUUUCCAAUAAAAUACGCGGUAAAAUCAUCAAUCGGGAUGGACCAAGUCACAAUCCCCUAUAGUGAACGACCUCACGCUCGUCAUCGAGCGUGUGUCUCACCUCAAUUUAGCACUACGAUGUGUAAUCCGGGGUUUCAAACCCUCAGAACAUCAUUUACAAUUAUUAUUCACCUCGAUCCAAUCCAAACUCUAGUCCGCGAAGCCUCGCCCACAUGAAUCGACCUCCGGAUGGUCCAAAUCUAUCCACAAUCAGUAAUCCAAUCCAAACUCUAGUCCGUGAUGCCUCGCCCACAUGAAUCGACCUCCGGAUGGUCCAAAUCUAUCCACAAUCAGUACGUAGUCAUUAAAAUAUGCUACGGGAGCGAAGCCUGCUCGAAAAUAUCCAAUUUAACAUUAAAAUUUUCCGAAAUUUCUCAAACCCGACCCUUGAGCCAACGUCUCAAAAUCCGACAAAAUGAACAUCAAUGGAAUUCUCAUCCUCGCACGAGUUCAUACAUAUCAAUUUACUAAAAUCCGACCUCAUAUGGUCAUUCAAAUUCUAAAAAUUCACUCUUCAAUUUCAAGCCCUAAAUUCCAAACUUUUCCUCCAGUUUCCCACAAAUUUUCAUGAGUAAACAAUGAUAUAAUCACCAUAAAUACAAGGUAUAUGACCCAGGUAGCUUACCUCUAUGGACACACUUGAUCCCCCUUUAAAAUCACAUCUUGGAGCAACAAAAUCGCACAAAAAUGGUGAACAAAUGGCUAAAAACAACGAAGGGGCAUUUUUAUACCUUCUUCCCAGCUCUGUCGCACCUGCGAUCCUAUAAGCACAUAUGCGCUUCCGCUUCUGUGGAUUUCACUUAUGACACCAGAACCCCCAUAUGCGGUCAAACCACGCACCUGCGGUACGGCAUUUGCGGUCUCAUGUCCCAUUUUGCGAAAUUCACUUACCUAGCCUACAUCACAUAUGUGACCAAUCUUCUACAUCUGCGACAUCGUGGAUGUGGUCACCAUAUCACUUCAGUGGUCUCUUCUCAUUUGGACCUUUUUCGCUUCUGCGAUAGAUCACCCGCAUCUGCGGCGCCGCACCUGCGGCGCCGCACCUGCGGUCCCAAAUCUGCAGGUGGGAAAAUACGAGAAGCGACAAUAUCAGCUGCUGCAACAAAAUUCCAAUCUCUCCGUUAACCAUCUGAAAUCGUCCCGAGGCCCCCGGAACCUCAACCAAAAACACAAACACAACCAAACACCUUAUACAAACUUGUUCCAAUCAUCAAAACACUUCAAACAACAUCAAAACAAUCAAAAUACCUCGGAUUCAAGCCUAAGUUUUUAAAAUCUUUCAAAUUUCGCUUUGGAUAAAAAAACUCAACCAUACCAUGUCCGAAUGACCUGAAAUUUUGCACACACAUCCCACAUGAAACGACGGAACUACUGAAACUUUCGAAGUUCUAUUCCGACCUCAAUAGAAAAAUCUCACCUAUCAACCGGAAAAUGCCGAAAUCUCAAUUUCGCUAAUUCAAGCCUAAACCUUCCACGAACUUCCAAAAGGCAUUCAGAUCGCGCUCGUAAGACCCAAAUCAGCUAACGGAGCUAACCAAAUCAUAAGAAUAUCGAUCCGAGAUCAUAUAUAAACAAGUUAAAUCUUGGUCAACCCCUCUUUUGAGAACCGUUUCUUCCAAAUUCACUCUGAUUACCCUGAAAACAAAAACCAAUGAUUUAUAUAAGUCAUAAUACAUCAAGUGCGGCAAGUCAUGUCCGAGAACUGGCAAGCAAAGUGCAAAAACUCAAAAUGACCGAUUGAAUCGUUACAAAUAAUUCAACUUCCAAAUAAUAUUUUCCAACAUAACUUCAAAACUCUUUUUUCAAGUUUUAAUUACAUAUAUCUUCCACUGUAUUCAUUUAUGCUUGUGUUUUAUCAAGCAUUUUCAUAAGUGAAUUUCAUACUAAUCUUCAUGCAAACACUUGUACUUUAGAAGAUAUAUUAUUCCUAAAUACAACAUGUGAUACGAGAUCAUUAAAUUGUAAGUGUACCUUGUAAUUGAUUAAUUUUGGACUUCACGAAAAAUAAUUAAGGAAGUAAUGAUAUGAAGUAAAUAAAUAAGUAAAGUGAAAAAAUUAAACUUGACUCAAGACAUAUUAUGGGAAACACGUUUCUUUCACGAUCCAUCUUAUCCUUUCAUCGAUGGAAGCUAGCAAUAACAUUAUUCUCAUAUUGGCGGAAUUACGGUUGUUUGUCUUCUUAUAUGAUCAUAGACUCUCAAGAUAAUUCAUAUUUCAAGACUAGCUAUUUUUUAGAGCUGAAUUAAGUUUAAAAUUCAUUUAUUCAUCCGAGAGUCGGUGGUGUUAAGCAGGGGCUGAGUAAAAGCAUUAGUUGUGGGUUCGAAGGAACUCAGCUUAAACUUUAUAUUUAUAUUAUAAAAAAUACAUAAAAUAUGUAUAAAUAAUUAAUUAAGACUCAAUAACUAAGAUAAACUUGAGUUCACGAUUAACUGAGAGUUUAUAAAUUCUAAUCCUAGCUCCGUAUUUGAUGCUAAGAUGCCCCACAUUUAUUGAGGGAUAGGUUGUUAUAUGGUCUUGAGAAUAGUUGGAGUCACUCGGCCAUCAAUUAUCUACGUCAAGAGUUGAGUCACUAGACCACCAAUUAAUUAUCUACUUCUAGAGUUGGAGUCACUUGGCCCAUUGUUUCCCAUUAAAACAAUUUGCCCCAAGUUAAUAAUCCAAAUUGAUACUAUUUGUCAAGUGGCCAUGUAGCAACCUUGUUUUUGUUUUUUCUUGGAACAUUCCUAGGAAAUACUUAACCUCUACUUUCCGAGUACACAUCGGAUAAUUUGCUUAAUGUAUAUUAGAUCACAAAUAACACAGAAGAUAUAAAUCGCAUUAGACACGUUUGAUGCGACGAGUUUUGACUGAGAAGACUGCUGGGAAGGGGAAUCGAUCUGAUCUUCCAUGUGAAAAACCACUCAUCCGACCAACUCGGUCAACCUCGGCGGGCGUGACUUCAAAGUAAGUCUUUUGUGAAGUCUUUCUGUGAAUUUAAAAUGAGUGGUUCUGAACGUUACUAAGUUCUAUACUAAUACUCCAACUAGCUGAUGCAAGGGAGAUGUCUAAGGCGGCUGCUCCAAUUACCCAAGGUUUAUUUACAUCUUCACUCUAUUACAAGUAGUUAUUUUCAUUUUUAACAUUUUGAGUCUGCAAAUGGAUAUUAUAAAUGUUUAAAUAUUCAUGUAACAUUUUACUUUGAAUUUUGUAAUCCUAAAUGUGUCAUAAUAUCUUAUACAAAAGUCUCAUUAAUAAAAAAAAUUAGAAUUUCGUCAUUAAAAAUUAUUAAUUGUUGUGAGGUUUUUUCACUUUGUAUACUACCAGGGUACUUUUUUAGAUAAUAACGUUAAAAAUUUAAUGAAAUACAUAUACAAAUUAUAGUACUUGAUUAAAUAUAAAAUUAAAAAGAAGAAAAAAUUAUGGUUCUUAAAUAAGUAUAUAUAUUUGUGAGGUUAUAAAUUAUAUUCUAUUUGGUCUACUUUUAUUGGACUUUUGACCCUUUUAAUUGUAUUCUAUAAUAUUUAAUUUUUUCAAAUAUCGGGAAUUAGCUCUUUUUUCUAAAGUUGCCUUUAGAGUUAAGAGCCCGAAAGUAUUUGUUAUAUUUUUAAUAAACAAAUUAAAAUUAAUUAUUUUGGGAGUCGAACAAAGUUUUGUUUAACUCUGUUUUUCUCAAAUAAUUUUUAAAUAUUUAAUUGAUAACUACUAUAACUUAUGAUAUUUUUUAUGUAAUUUUUAAAUUUAUCAGUUUUAUUUAUAAAAAAACUUAAAGAACCUAUGAAUUCACAUAAAAACUUUGUCAAUUUAACUCUCGUACUCCAAAGAGAUUCAAACAAAUUAAAACAAAUGGAAUACUUGCCGGCAACGGAACUGAAAAUUAUUGACAUAAAUUUCCCUUUUUAGGUUAACCUAUUGCUAAUACAUCAUAACCUUUUUGUAGGAAUGGAUUCAAACAACAUUAGUGAUCAAGCGGGUUAUGCUCGGGUUUUACGUUGUUUGGCUUGCAGAUGUUGUGUCGGUUAAAUUUUAUAUAUUUUUUACGAUCAAAUAUUAUACAAUGUUUUUGUAUGUGCUAAAAGUAAUAAUACUCCAAAAUAAGGCACAACAUUGUGGUAGUAUUAGUUUGUGUUGUUAUACAUGUCUUGUCCGGUUGUCUUUCAACUUUGUGGUACUGUAAUUUUAAUUCUGGUCAAUAAAUAGUACUACUAAUUAGUGUUUAUGGUUACAAAUUCAGAAUUCAUGUUUGGCCUUUUAUGAUCGAACUAGACGGACUGUUUGGUCUUCAAAUGAGAAGUUUUAUUUUGUGUCUCAUACAACUUACGCAUGAGGUUCUUUUUUAUUUCACAAAAUUAUGGAUCAUAAUCGUACACUUCUGAAUUCAUAGAAUUUGGGAUGCACAAAACUAUGAGAUAAAAAAUUGUCUUAUAUAACUAAUAUAAGUUGUAUGAGACACAACAUAAAAUUUUCCGUCUUCAAAUCAAAAUACCAAAAUAAGGACUAUAUGAGAGUACAUAUGAUGUCUUCCAAGUUAUAAAAAUUGUAGGAACAUUAAAAAAAAUCUAGUGAAGAUAUUGUCACGAUCCAAGCUUUCCCUUCGUAAACUGUCGUAACGACAUCCACUCUUUACCAUUAGGUAAGCCUAACAAUCACGGAAAAAAAUAAAAUGCGAAAAAACUAAUAAAAAUUGAAGAUAAACAAUAUAAAGGCGUCUCGACAUAUACUAAUACAAGAUCUUGAAAACUAAAUAACUUUCCAAAUUCAUAAUAUCAUGAAAUCACAAGCUAAUGAUACUACAUAGUGCUCUAACUCUAGAAUGUCUAAAACAAAGCAAAUAAAUAAGGGAUGUAACUACAAGAGAGAAUGGAGA